rnacentral:rRNA from 1 species
AACGAACGCUGGCGGCAGGCCUAACACAUGCAAGUCGAACGAAGUCUUCGGACUUAGUGGCGCACGGGUGAGUAACGCGUAGGAAUCUACCUAUUAGUUCGGGAUAACAGUUGGAAACGACUGCUAAUACCGGAUACGCCCUUGGGGAAAGAAUUUCGCUAAUAGAUGAGCCUGCGUGACAUUAGCUAGUUGGUAGGGUA